rnacentral:lncRNA from 1 species
UUAAGCCGCUAAGUGUGGGGAUGAAAUUGUUACAUAGCGACAGAUAACAAAAACAGAGGGUACAAAGAUGAUAGCUCACCAUCUUUGGGCUGAAAGGAGCUUGAAAUCCAGGUGAGAAGAGCAGGUACGCACUGGCGGGGAGAAGCCCCAUAGCAUGUUGCCGUUGAGAGUCCCAACAGGACUUGGAGACCAGAGUUGCCAAGGAAUGGGGCGAUUUUUAAACUCAGCUUCUGAUUUAUAGUUGAUGGUGGAAAUUCCUACAAGUUUGAAGUAACUUGGAUUCACAUUACCAUUUUUAUAAUGAUAAUUAAUAAUAAGAAUUUUCGUGCAUUAUCUUAUUCGAUCAUCAUAAAAGCCCAAUAGGUAGUCAAUUAGUCCAGCUUUACAAUUCUACUGGAUCAUUUAAGAAAAUUAAGAAAUGUCUGGCUCUAGUUGAUCAAUUUAACACAAGCACGCUUACCCUGGACAGAGAAGCAAUGAUGCGGUAAACACAACGGCAGAGAGAAAACAGAGGACGCGAUCCACGCUGCGGAGCAGUUUAGAACCUGGGCGGGCACUUGUGACACAAACUCACGCUCACAAAUAGCCAACAACGGUGAGGAAGACGCGGGAAGUGCACGACGCUAGGUGCCAGUCAAAUGCAGAGUCUGACGCAUUCGGCUGUCUUCAGUAGUCUUUCGCUUCAGGCUACCCUUGCUCCAGACGCGUCCUGUGGUUCCGAUCCAGGCUUGACAACGAAAAUCCAAGCUCAGAGUCACUGUGGAAUUAAAUGAGCUGGAGUAGGAAGACCCUGAUUUCAAGCAGACCCUCG